AGAGGCAGAAAAGACACAAUUGGAGUCGAGGACUACCUGUAGUUAGAAAAUACUUAACGGAAACAAACAGGAGCGUGUGCAGGCAUCAGUAGGUGCAUGUUCUGUUUGUUAUGUUGGAUCACCAGGUGAAGCAUGAAAACAGCUACCAAACUCUGCAUCAAGCACCGACAAGCUCAACGUGGGAAAAUGACACAGGCAAAGAAUGGACCACUCAUUUGAAUGCUGGCAACGCAUUCGUAAAUGAAACCAAAUUGUGGAGAAAGAGAGAGGUGGGUGGAUUGGCACCAUGGAGUGCAGGGAAGAUGUUUCUGAGAGAAGGGAGAGCAGCAAACCACACCUUGUGGAGGAAUUCCAU